rnacentral:rRNA from 1 species
AACGAACGCUGGCGGCAGUGCCUACACAUGCAGUCGAGCGCGCCUUCGGGUGAGCGGCGGACGGGUUAGUAACGCGUGGGAACGUGCCCUUUUCUACGGAAUAGCCUCUGGAAACGGAGAGUAAUACCCGUAUACGCCCUUUGGGGGAACAGAUUUAUCGGAGAAGAGAUCGGCCCGCGUUCAGCAUUAAGUAGAUUGGAUGGGGUAACGGCACUAACAAAGCCUACGAUCUAUAGCUGGUUUUAGAGGAUGAUCAGCCAACACUGGGACUGAGACACGGCCCAGACUCCUACGGGAGGCAGCAGUGGGGAAUCUUAGACAAUCGGGGGCAACCCUGAUCUAGCCAUGCCGCGUGAGUGAUGAAAGGCCUUAGGGUCGUAAAGCUCUUUCGCCUGUGAUGAUAAUGACAGUAGCAGGUAAAGAAACCCCGGCUAACUCCGAUGACCAGACAGCCGCGGUAAUACGGAGGGGGUUAGCGUUGUUCGGAAUUACUGGGCGUAAAGCGCGCGUAGGCGGAUUAGAAAGUUGGGGGUGAAAUCCCGGGGCU